rnacentral:lncRNA from 1 species
ACAAUCAACCACGUACAUAUGCUACUGCUUUUUUUCAUGACCGAUUAGUAGAGUUCAAUUUAAAGAUAUAUAAAGAAUCCAACUUGCAUACAUAUAUUGAGCCACCACUGCUUAUUAAUUAACCCUUCAAUCCAUAUGUUCAUAGAAUAUCUACGAGCAAUAGGCUUUUGAUGCAUGUGGUUGUCCCACAAAAAUAAUAUGUUGUGUGUACAGUGCUAAUCUCAUAAACACUUCCAAUUCAUUCUAAUGCCUACUAAUACAUUUUGUUAAAAAUUAUUAAAAUCUGAAAUUUUGAAUUAUAUGUAUACCACUUCCAUUCAUAACAAAUAAAUUAAAUGAUAAACAUUAUGAACACACAAAUUUCUCGAUAGAGAACACCUUAGAUAUCAAGCAGAGAGACACGAUAAUGCUCAUAAACAGGGAGCUCACUGGCAAUUUAGCAUAUCGGCACACCCCUAUGAAUCCAUGGGGUGGAAGAUGAGGGGGUGAAGGGUUGCGGUGAAGGAUAAGAUACCGAAAAUAGGGUAGUAAAGAAGGUUUCUGAUGAUUAAUUAUUUUACUUGAUAGACUUCAUUCAUCCCCUGCUGCCGCCUGCCGCCUGCCGCCUGCCGCCUGCCGCCUGCCGCCUGCCGCCUUAGUUCUCAACCUGUUGAAGAUGAAUAAAGCAACUAUAUAUUUGAACUCCUUGACAUUCUCAUGAGCUGCAGGUGCAUUGAUGAUCCUAAGGCGUUAAUUUUCUCUACUAAUAAUUGUCUGUCUCUUCAUUUGCUCCAAGGCUUAGGUUAUCCGAACAUAUUUGUGUCUAACUGUUCAAGUCUACUUAUUAAUGCUUAGGUUAUUCAACUUAUUUAUGUGUAACUGUUCAAUAGUAUGAAAACGGAUAGGAGUGAAAGAGACUCAGACUACAAUAUUAUGGUGAUUGUUAGGAAUAUUUCUUGUGCACUAUUUACGUUUUUG